UCAAAAGAUGAGGUAGAGGUCUUGGAAGAUGAAUUUCAUGAUUUAGGUAAUAUGUUAACUUCCAAACUUUGUCUAUUAAGUGCUAUUAAAUGUGUCUUAUGCAAAUGAAAUUUAAUCUAAUAGUCUUCAUUUCUUUCUCUUUUCUAGUUAUACGUCAAGCAGCAAGAGGUGGUGGAAGUUCAAGCUCAAGCAAAGGUAUCUCAAUUAACAUUGAUGACUAAUCAAAAACUGGGAGGAAGGACACACAUUUUGUAUAGGAGGCAGAUUUUUGGAUGCAAUUUGGAAGUUUUUUUGGACAGUGCUUUUCUAACUGAUAAUUGAUAAAUUAACUCUUGCUUAUAGGAAAGAAAACUUAUUAAGUUUAAUAGGCUUUCUUUUCUAUAAGUCAUGGACUAAACUCUAUAUAGUAGUUGCUCUUUAAAUGUUUUAGAAAA